rnacentral:rRNA from 1 species
GAAGACCUACGGGGGGCAGCAGUGAGGAAUAUUGGUCAAUGGGCGGAAGCCUGAACCAGCCACGUCGCGUGAGGGAAUAAGGCCCUACGGGUCGUAAACCUCUUUUGCCGGGGAGCAAGGGCCGGGACGAGUCCCGGUCCGGAGAGUACCCGGAGAAAAAGCAUCGGCUAACUCCGUGCCAGCAGCCGCGGUAAUACGGAGGAUGCGAGCGUUAUCCGGAUUUACUGGGUGUAAAGGGAGCGUAGACGGCAGUGCAAGUCUGAAGUGAAAGGCAAGGGCUCAACCCUUGGACUGCUUUGGCAACG